UCGUAAACAGAGGGAAGCGAAACCGCGAGGUAGAGCAAAUUCCCAAAAACGGUCUCAGUUCGGAUUGCAGGCUGCAACUCGCCUGUAUGAAGUCGGAAUUGCUAGUAAUCGCGGAUCAGCAUGCCGCGGUGAAUACGUUCCCGGGCCUUGUACACACCGCCCGUCACACCAUGAGAGCCGGGAACACCCGAAGUCCGUAGUCUAACCGCAAGGAGGACGCGGCCGAAGGUGGGUUUGGUAAUUGGGGUGAAGUCGUAACAAGGUAGC
rnacentral:rRNA from 1 species